UUGACUGUCCAGGUGGUUGUGGGGAAUUUCCCCGGGUUCGUUGGCACGUUUGAAUGCGAGAGCCAGUUUCUUGGAACAUUUUAGUUGAACACUGGAUCCAUCCCGAAUAUUGUGGAAGAAGGCACAAAAGAACAAACACGGCAGAACACAUACUUGGAGUCUUGAAACACCGGCAGUGCAGACCGGAACGAUGAGAGGUUUUGAAUGGAAAGUUGUCGCGUGACAGACGACCGGCUGUCCGGUGUUAUUCGCCGGCCGUCUUAUCAGUUCUGGGGGCGACGACAGUGACAAACUGGACGUGCGUCUACGCAGAAGUGGGAGUCCUGCCGAAGCCGCGUAAAAUGUGACAUAGUGGGCGGGACGGCGGAAGACCUCUGACCCCACAACGCCUGACUAUAACUACCCCAGGAACUUGACCACCCACUAAGGAAUCAUCUAGUGAGGAGUAGCAAGCUGUCCUCUCUGUCUGACUCUUCCAGCCAAAGUAAAUGGAUCCCCCUCCCCUGUAAAAUCGGCUUCGCAGGACGAGACUAUGAGCGAGCCAAACGAGGCAUAUCAGAUAGAAGAUUGGUACGUUCAAAGCUGUAUCCGAC